rnacentral:rRNA from 1 species
CCUGCCCUUCAGAGGGGGACAACAGUUGGAAACGACUGCUAAUACCGCAUACGAUCUAAUCUCGGCAUCGAGGAAAGAUGAAAGGUGGCCUCUAUUUAUAAGCUAUCACUGGAGGAGGGGAUUGCGUCUGAUUAGCUAGUUGGAGGGGUAACGGCCCACCAAGGCGAUGAUCAGUAGCCGGUCUGAGAGGAUGAACGGCCACAUUGGGGCUGAGACACGGCCAGACUCCUACGGGAGGCAGCAUG